CCUACGGGAGGCAGCAGUGGGGAAUUUUGGACAAUGGACGAAAGUCUGAUCCAGCAAUGCCGCGUGCAGGACGAAGGCCUUCGGGUUGUAAACUGCUUUUGUACGGAACGAAAAGGUCUGCCUUAAUACGGUGGGCUCAUGACGGUACCGUAAGAAUAAGCACCGGCUAACUACGUGCCAGCAGCCGCGGUAAUACGUAGGGUGCAAGCGUUAAUCGGAAUUACUGGGCGUAAAGCGUGCGCAGGCGGUUAUAUAAGUCAGAUGUGAAAUCCCCGGGCUCAACCUGGGACCUGCAUUUGAGACUGUAUAGCUAGAGUACGGUAGAGGGGGAUGGAAUUCCGCGUGUAGCAGUGAAAUGCGUAGAUAUGCGGAGGAACACCGAUGGCGAAGGCAAUCCCCUGGACCUGUACUGACGCUCAUGCACGAAAGCGUGGGGAGCAAACAGGAUUAGAUACCCUGGUAGUCCACGCCCUAAACGAUGUCAACUGGUUGUUGGGUCUUCACUGACUCAGUAACGAAGCUAACGCGUGAAGUGACGCCUGGGGNGGAGGCGGCGAGUUAGUUAAGUAAAGUUAAAGUUAGUAGCGNGNGAGNGCGACGACGACGACGAGGAGGAGGNG
rnacentral:rRNA from 1 species